AGAGUUUGAUUCUGGCUCAGGACGAACGCUGGCGGCGUGCUUAACACAUGCAAGUCGAGCGGAAAGGCUCCUUCGGGGGUACUCGAGCGGCGAACGGGUGAGUAACACGUGAGUAAUCUGCCCUCCACUUCGGGAUAGCUACCGGAAACGGUGAUUAAUACCGGAUAUGACCACUUCUCGCAUGGGAUGGUGGUGGAAAGUUUUUUCGGUGGGGGAUGUGCUCGCGGCCUAUCAGCUUGUUGGUGGGGUAAUGGCCUACCAAGGCUUCGACGGGUAGCCGGCCUGAGAGGGUGACCGGUCACACUGGGACUGAGACACGGCCCAGACUCCUACGGGAGGCAGCAGUGGGGAAUAUUGGACAAUGGGCGGAAGCCUGAUCCAGCAACGCCGCGUGAGGGAUGACGGCCUUCGGGUUGUAAACCUCUUUCAGUACCGACGAAGCGCAAGUGACGGUAGGUACAGAAGAAGCACCGGCCAACUACGUGCCAGCAGCCGCGGUAAUACGUAGGGUGCGAGCGUUGUCCGGAAUUAUUGGGCGUAAAGGGCUCGUAGGCGGUUUGUCGCGUCGGGAGUGAAAACACCGUGCUUAACACGGUGCUUGCUUUCGAUACGGGCAGACUAGAGGCAUGCAGGGGAGAACGGAAUUCCUGGUGUAGCGGUGAAAUGCGCAGAUAUCAGGAGGAACACCGGUGGCGAAGGCGGUUCUCUGGGCAUGUCCUGACGCUGAGGAGCGAAAGUGUGGGGAGCGAACAGGAUUAGAUACCCUGGUAGUCCACACCGUAAACGUUGGGCGCUAGGUGUGGGAUCCAUUCCACGGGUUCCGUGCCGCAGCUAACGCAUUAAGCGCCCCGCCUGGGGAGUACGGCCGCAAGGCUAAACUCAAAUGAAUUGACGGGG
rnacentral:rRNA from 1 species